CACAAACACAGAGACUUAGAUUUUGUUUUUCAUAAACUGUGUGAAUGAAUGUGUUUGUGAAUGAAUGAGUGUGUGAGUGAAUGAAUAUGUGAGUGAAUGAGUGAGGGACACUUACUCAAGCUCCCUAACCUUCCUCAUCACCCAGGGCUCAUCACGUUUGCAGCAGUACAAACGACCACUCUCCGUUUGGAAUCUACACAAAACACAGAGACACCGGCUCAUCAUGUUUAAAGCAGUACAAACCACCACUCUCCGUUUGGAAACUACACAAAACACAGAGACACCGUGAGUAGUCUGAGCCAUGAUGACAUCCUAAAACACACGUUUAAAAGAAGACCCAUAACCGAACACACGUUCAAAGUCCACGAUGGUUUCAGUGAUCUGCUGUGUGGACACCUUGGUGCAGCAUUCAGAGAACUUCUCAACUGCUGAAGGAGAGACAGAAAGACGGUUAGUUUUCCCUAACUUUGACAUUGUAAGACGGCAGUCCAUACCUUGGUUCUCAUGGUGUACCCUGAGAACCCAGGUCCCCGUCGGCCCCAUCCUCCCCUCACCUGCAGAUACUUGUCCGGUCAGAGCGACCACCACAGCCAGCAGCAGCAGGCUCUUUGUCACGGUGCCACAGGUCGUCAUCUUCACUGGUUCUGAUUGGCUGCUUUUAACGAUCAAGAGAUAGACGGGAAGACGACCGAGGAGAUCAGGUGUUAAUGCUAUUCUACCGUUAGACCAGUGGACUGCCCUCUCUCAGCAGGACAGGGAUAUUUAUAUUGUGAAAAGGAGAAGUGCUGGAGUGACGUCUCUCGCCCCUCCUUAGAGAAGCCCUUUUCCGACCGCUUUCUGAUGCAAUAUUGGAAAACUCUCUCAAGUCCCUUUGCUCUGGAAAAGGGAAGGAACCAAGAAAGGGACGACGACGGAGGAUUGCAAACCUAGAAAGAAUGUCUCCUACUUUGUUUCCUGUAAGUUAAUACCGGCCUUAUUCACCUGUCGGCCAUGUUGGUUCAGCUGUGUCUUGAAAGAAAUGAACGUGGGACUAGAACCAAAAUGGCCGCUGGGUGAACGACCAUGUAAUCUUUUGUUUAUGUGACUGGUCCCAAUUAUUUCCAUUUUAGUUAAAACAUAAUGCUGGUAAAGGUACAAUGUGGUUAACAUGAGUCUGAUGUUUCUAAGUAUCAGCUUUGGUUUGAAGCCAUAUUGAAAGUAAAAAAUAAAUAUA